AGGAGGUUCCCAAGGUCUUCCUUGCGUGACGUGUUAUUAAGCGCAUUUGAUUCGGAGAAGAUUUUCCUUUUAAUUUUGGCGUCACGGUUGUUCUGUUCACGGUCUUCGCUUUUGUCCUGGUACAUGAAAAACGUGAUCCCACGCAACGUACCCGCGAAAAACCGUCUUCCCCGCGAGCACUUUUCGUGACGCGAAAGAAACUGGUAACGAAAGAAAAUCCAACAUGGCGGUGGGAGUUCGCAGUUUUGAGGAGGAUUAUAAACUUAUUUUGGUACCAAAGGUACAAUUAAUACGCCACCUAUGGUAUGUCUUGCCUGUUUAAGCAUAUUUUUCCUCUUCUGGAUGGAUUUGAGAGCAAGGAAAAUGGUUUUGGUGGUUGCAGAACAGCGAAAUGAAGAGGACAUGUUACACCGUUCUGACGCACAGUACUGCUUAGUAACAACAGCAAAACUCUUACUAAAGAUCAUCUGGAUGGACAGUGGACAAACCUUGAUAGACAGUGGAGAAGUGUUGAAGGACAGUGGAAAGAUCAAAAUGUGCAGACCCUCACCCACCAGAAUGCUGGACAGCUGAGGUCAUUACAAGACAGCAUGGACUUUGGAGAGACUAGCAAAAACCAAGACAAGACAACAAGACGGUUUAAGUAGAUGUCUAUUUGAUCAUGUAUUUUUCUGGCCCAGCCCGGGAGGCCUUUGAAUGUGGGGUACAGCUGGCCCGGGGUUUUCCUCCUAGGGGCAAGUGGACGUACGGGGAGGUUUUUCACCCAGCUGUUGUUCCACAACAGGUAGUUGGUAGUUGGUUAUUUCUUUACCUUCAAGACUCUUGGCAAACUUCUUGCAUUGGUUUCAAGCAACAACCUGAUGAAUUCUAAAACAUAUACAGUCACUAACUUAUUAGAACAAACAACUCUCAACUGAUGCUAACAACUACAUGGCUUGUACUUCUCUUUCACCCAACAACUGGUGUUUCAAUACCUCAACAAGGCAAUAAACAAUUAACUGUGACUUCAAACAGAACCAACACAAACUUAUUGUAACUCACAACAGAUUGAUUGAAUCUGACACCAACAAGUACAUGUACAUGUACUUUCAUUAUCACUUUUUGCCAUCAGUCCUUGGGGGUAAUGGGCCAGACAUUCGUCUUCAACAUGCCACUCAGUCACAUGCAAUCACUGCUGUAUCACUCCACUACAUAAAAACCAGGGCUGUCCUUUCUUUCCCUGCGUUUCUCACACGGACCUCAGACAUAACCAAUACAAACUUAACUGACAAUAGAUGGAUUGAGACUGACAGCAUCUGACAACAAGAUCUACCAGCUUACGCCUUACAGACAACUUAUUCAUGACCUCAACAAACCUAAAAACUACUUGUGACUUCAGCACUUCAGUGUAGAAUACUAAAUUACAAGACUGUUAUCGAUACUGCCAGGUACUACCGACUUCUUCCAUGAUUGCCUCAUAGGGGAAUCCCUAGGGAUUUUUGGUGGUUUAGAUUUUUGCCCCAAUUCAAUCACCCCAUCACUUGAAAUCCCGAGCACCCCCUGGGAUCACCAAAGCUUUGCUGACUACAGAAACUGCACAAGCCAAAUACCAAUGCAAGGAUUAGCAUUGAGUCAGAUAAUAUUACUGUUAUGUGUAGAGGUGUGUGUGCCACCAGUGUUCAAACAAGUGCCUUUUUUAAAAAAAAAAAACACUCUAGCUGCCCACUGCAUGUCAUUAUAUGGGUCAGAGGUCUCUGUUAUUGUCUGUAAUUUUCACCGCAGUGUUCAUAAUAAAUUAAUUUCGAUUGAAAAUAAAUUAUUGACAAUGUUGUUGUUUGUUUCAUGAUGAGGUGCUUUAGGAUGUAGAUUGUAAUGUUUUGACUGCUUACUGCUAGUCUUCAUAGUGUUCAUCUGGCAAUGAAGGGUUGCAGAAAGAAGUCAAACACCACAAUCUGCAUCUUAUAGUGACUAAAUCAUGAGACAGACAAUAACUCACUUUACAAUGACCAGCCACCAUCUCUUUCACGGCAAAUUUACUUUUUUUGGAUGAUGCAUAUUCAUGAGAGAACUACAUGCUGCAGCAGAGAUCUCUGACUCCAAUCAAUGAACCAGUAAAUCAUGAAACCCACUCCGCUUGGCUGAUUUGAAUCCACUGAACAGUAAAUAUUACUCUUGCCCUUGUUUGUUCCUUUUGAGUUAGGUUUGAAGGUCCCAGUAUAAGACUCCUUUGAGCAGUGUUUUUUUUUACUUAGAUGUGUGAUGUACAGUUGCUCCAAGGCAAAGUCUGAAGUAUUAAUUGUUUAGAAAAGUUGACCAAAAGUUGUAAAAGAAAAAUUCAAACUCAUUCAUGAACAAACAAACGGUUAAAUAGCACAUUCUCUUAUCUUGUCUCCAUACUUUUCUAAUAGGUACUGAUUGAUCAUUUUGAGAAACAAACUAAGACAAAUCUUCCUUGUGAUUCACAAUUAUUUGGUCAGUUCUCAUGAUCAUUAUUGGGCCAUAAAGGUGAAACAAAACUUAACAACAACAAAUCAUGUUCAACUAAAUUUUAGGAGUUUAUUUCUUCAAUUCAAAAUUCACAUUAUUUGCAAACCACAAGUAAUGUAACAAAAAAUAGUCUGAAAUUUAAAAUUUGGAAAUGUAUGUUUAGCAAGUAGGGAAAGCAAACAGGAAGCCUGUUAUGGUAACUGCUUAGUGACUUUUUUAUUGGGCACAUACUAAGGUUUCAUUCUUAGCCUUAAUUGCGAGAUUAGAAGGCUUCAGCACAUGCACAGGACAACCAGUUUUUCAGUAUUCUGCUUUUGCAUUUGGGUUUGGUUCAUUACAGGUUAUGAUAAAUUACUUUUAAGUGAGAAAAUUCUUAGAAUUUAGCUUGCACAUUCUUCACUGCUCAAAGGAAAGCUUGCUAAAAGAUAAUUAUUAUUUUUGAAAUCACUGACUUAUUUCCUUUUUCAAACGCUUUUCUGUUUUUAAGUGCCUGGCAGCUUGAUGGUGGUUGUUUAAUUCAUAAACAAGGGAAGCAUUCGAUAUUACAAAUUGAGUAAUCUCAAGAUAGUCAGUCAAAUAUUUUUCAUUUAAAAUUCACAGUCUAUCAGUUUGGACAAAAACUGUUCAUCUCGAAAAAUUGGCCUGGGAAACACAGGUCAUUUUGCAUCCCAUGUUCAGUUGUCAUAACCACUGUAAGUGGGCUGCUACAAAAUUUACCAGCUUUCUAGUUUUUGCAAUGUUAUCAAUCUUCCUAUUUUAAAUUUAAAACACCAUUAAUAGCUAUAACUGCUAUUGCUUCCCUUGUUUAUAUUAGUUUAAUAUAUUAUUUUAUGUGUAUAUUACUUUGUACAUAAGUACAUGUAGAUCUGCAAGCUCAUUUGCCUAAACUGAAAAUACACAAGAGUAAAAAUAGUUAUUUUCAAGCACUGCAAAAGUUGCAAUGACUAGCUAGGUGUGAUGAAAGCCUUAUUGUUGCUACUCCAUCACAUUUACCUUCUUGACUCAAUUUAUUCCUUUCAGCACGUACCAAAAUGUUCAUUAAUGUAAAUGUUCUAGGCCUUAAGCCACAAAAUAUGACACUAGGUUGCAGAAAAAGUUUGAGUGGUAAUAUCAUUGAAGAAUUAGCCCAAAUUAAUUGUGGUUUAUCCCUUAGGAAUUAUUCUUUUUUUGGAAUGGGGCUAUUUUUGUUUUCAUUUUCAAUUUCUCAAUUUUUGAUGCAGUUAUUACUGGCUUAUGGUAAUAUUUGUAAAAUUUAGGCAAAGUUAGAUCAACAGUCUGCAUUUUAAUUGAAGUUAUCGCUAGUUUCUCUUGUUUUCCUGUUAUUUUAUUUUAUUGUGAUCUACAAACAGCAUCUUUUAUUCUUUUGCACCAUUACAUUAAAUAAUCCUUUUUGCUUAGCCUUGAGUGACAGCAUAAUGCAGACUGUUGAUGAACAGUAGUUUAUUUUAAUUUUAUUUGCCAGAUUUCUUGGUUCUUCCUUGGUGUUGCAAGUCGUCAUAUUUUGACAGCUCUUUAAGUCCUCCUUUAAGUUUUUUUCAGUACUUAAUUCACUCAACAAAUUGUAGGGUUUUUUUGUACUGUUUUCUUGUUUAAUCUUUAGGAUUGUUUUGCUUGGUACCCUAAACACACACCCUCACGGGUAGCUUAAGAUUUUAAUCUUGAUUUCUUCAGACGUGUAUCACCAAGAAACAGCCAGUUUUUUCUUUUUUAGUUUAGUUAUAUUGCUAAUGAGCUUGCAUGUAUCUACUAAAAAUGUUAGGGUAUUAUUUAAUUCCAGGACAGAAGGUGCCACACACACCAAGACACAAAUCUAGCCAAUCGCGUCCCUGCUGGGUUGCAGAAGCUCUGCCUCUGAGAAGGUGUGUGUUUCUGUCCUCUGAGAAUAUUCCAACUGAGAAAUCCUGGGUAACUUUAUCUGAUACUGUAAUUCAAGCUGGGGACAGUUUGGGCACUUGGAAGAGUUGGCUGCUUGCUCUCAAGUAGUGUGGACAGUGUGAAGGAAGGUGAGAGUUUGCUUUUCAUGCCGUUAGGGUUCCACUUAAUUUGUCACAAUACUACACCAUCAGUUCCGGCCCAGCAAGGUGCUUUUUCACAGUCAGUGUAUCUGGAAAUGUUCCACAUCCAAGGACGUAAAACAGUAGUGCUGAAUUGUGGGGUUUGAGGAGGGUGCAUCUCUAGAGAAAGCAUAGACAGAGGAGAUCACUGAAUUUCAUCGGAGUGACCUGAUUGGAUUUUCACAACUGACGUCAAAUUGAGUUGAGUCUCUGGGGGUCUCUCUGAUUGGGUUGCUACCAGGUCAGGUUUCUCUCUUUUCUAGUUUUUCAUAAAAAAAUAAACUUUAACUUUAAAUAACUAAAAUAAAAUCCUAUAGGCCCAAUUAUAACCAAAACACAUCUUUUUGAAAACAAAAUUCUUAUUAAACAUUUUCUUAAAUUUUCAUUCUCCCUGUCAAGAAAUUUCACAACUAAACUAGCUUCAUUCUCUGUUUCAUUUUCAUUGAACUUAAGACAUAAUUCUUAAAGUUCCCAAACACUCCACAAACUUUAGGGGGUCUGAGCACCAGCUUUUGACACCAGGGUCUCUGGAAUCGCCUUGGUAACCAACAAGAGCUGUGAUUGGGUUAAUAGCUGCCUUGGUAACUGUGAACCAAUCAUAGCUCAUGCCAGGUACCAAAAUAAUCCCAGAAAUUCUUGUGCUGACAGCUUUCGCCUAGUCUUCCUUAAGUUCCUGGGGUGUUCAAGAGUAAUUCUUAUUUGUCAAUUGGCUAUUUAUUAGAAACUUAGCAUAUAAUGGGUCUUUGAGGAAUAAUUCUCAUUGGUGGGCCGGUUAAAUGUUAAGUAAAUCGGCAGCAUUAAAUUAAACAGCUAAUUAGCAUUGAUGAAGGGUAAUCCUGAAAUAUCUUACAUUGAUCAUUAUUUAAAGCUUAGCACUUAAGUUAAUUCAGUUUCUUACCAACCGAACAAAUCAAACAGGAAUCAAAACCUUUCACUAACAGUUUAUAAAUAUAAUUUAUAUAGAAUGAUAAAAAUUAAAACAGUCUAGCAUUUCUUUAUUUUUGAAUAUAUAUGUUGCAAUAACAAUAAAAAUUCAUAUUCAUAAGCAUUUUGUGUGGGGCUGGCACUUUCCUAGGUAGGGUAAGGCUCAAUUUUUCCAUGGUGUUUUUUACGGAUUGUCACGCAAUGCUCCUCCAAAAUGUGUGCAUACACAUUGCGUGAGCAGAGAAGAAGGAUGCUACAAUCUCUUGCAAUGGGGAUUCUUAAUUAAAUUUCUGCAAUUGAAAUUAACGAUGCAAGUUGGAUUUCAAAUCAUUUGAAGUCAAAACUCUGCCAAAUAAAGAAAAAAAUCGCGACCAAAUUUAUUAGUCAACAAUUUUCUAGUUAAAAUCUUCGCGCGCAUAAUUAUUCAACCUAAACAGAAUUAUUAAUAUAAUUUUUAACGCACAUCAACUUCCCGAUUCUUAUCACUGUAAGCAGCGAUUCAGCUCAAACCUCUAGCUUGUUUUAGUAUUAAAAUAACAAGACCCGCUCAGCUUCGUAUGUUCAUUGCUCGUUUCGGAUCACGGAUGUUCUCUGGAGAAUUGUCCUCCAAAUUAUUCAUUUAUUCGCAAGGGAAUUUGAUUUGCACUUGAAUUAAAAAAAUUCUCCAGAGUAACGUCACGUGAGAUGAAAUAGGACAACAAACAAACAAGCUGAAUAAGCAUAAUUAACUAAAACAUUUGGCAAUAUGUUUUAUUUUUAAAAGAAAACGAAACCUUUCUUCGCCAUAAUAAUCGGCCAAUUUCUUUCAUCCAAAUUAAAGAGAGAUACCUGACAAUGGUAGCUUCACAGAUGAGAGACUCAUAGCGACUUGUGCUCUUUGGUGAAGUUUGUGGAAUGACGGUCGGUGGGAGGUUUGGUCGGAAGGUCAGACUGGCGGAUUCUGUGUUCAAUUCUUUCUUUGAUUUCAACGGUGAUGCACUGGAAUUAAGCACCAUACUUAAGCGCUUCGGUUUUUCUUGUCCAAGUUGCGAACAUUUCCAACUUCAAUGGGUUUUCAUCCAAAAUAGUCCGGGAGGGCGAACUUAUCGGCAAAUCAUUUAUUUUUGAUACAAUGACUCGCCUAAUGGCAUCUUUAAAAAAAUUAUCAAUUUGGUUUUUUAAUUUUUUUUCUUGUUAACUCCAAAAGUAUUUGAGUGUGGCAUUGUGACAAAUUAAGACAAAGACCCCGGAGGCAUGGGGAGCAAACUCUCACUUUCCUUUACGCUGUCCACCCCACUUGAGAGCAAACGAUCAACUCUCCCAAGUGUUCAACUGUUCCCGCCUUGGGUAUAGAGAUCAGAUAAAACAGACCAGGAUUUCAAAGUUGGAAUCUCAAACAAGGACUAAAGAAACAACACCAACUUGCAGCAGAGUGUAAGCAACCCAAAACGCAGGGACAAGAUUGGCUAGAUUAUUUUUUUUAACUUAAAGUAAUGGACAACAGAGACAAUUUUUAUUUCAAUAAAAUAUUGUUACCCUU
rnacentral:lncRNA from 1 species